CAGCGAAUAGUUUAUAUAAAAUAUCAAUUUUGGAUAUUGAUGAGGAAUUAAUAUUCUUUGCUGA
rnacentral:tRNA from 1 species